GUAUCACAUAGUUUAUUUGCUCCAGCAGCGACGGACUCCUCACUAGAUAGUGUUCUUAUUAUUUUGGAAAGAAUUCUCCUGUGUUCGCCCAGUAUUAUUUUUUGAGGGCAUACCUUACCAAAAAAAUUGUUUGGGAACAUCCGUCCCCGUUAUCCCUUGGUUUUACUCCCUAAUUUAAUUAUACCUGUAGAAUGGUUGGCAAUGCCACAACCACAAACAGGAACAGCUGAUACUUGUGUUUUCAAUAGUUGGGAAUGUACGAACCAGCAGAAAAGCGGGAACAGCUGAUAGACCAAAAUUAAACGGCGGAGCAUAAAAUUAAUUACGUGCGCGCUAUUAUAAGGGGAAAAUUAUAUUUAUUUAUGUUUGCGAAAUUGAGCGAAAAAAAGAAAAGGCUUGGUAUCAACUUAGGUGAUUCACUUUCCCGGAAAGUUUUACACAGAAAACUAUUUUUUCACUAUAAAAUACUACGUGUAUACGAAGAAAUUUCAAGAGCGCAUGUAUAAUUCACACGGCUACCUCAAUUGAAACCUGUAUAGUACAAGUCUGGUAUUCCAAACGUGAAGAGUAUUUGUCCAAGAGGUUCCCGUAUGUCUUCUGUUGAUCUGGAAUUAAUUACACUGUCGACUGUGUAACUAUUGUAACAAGACAAAUCCUGGGAUCCACAUAAAUGUGAGGCUCCAUUUAGGUUGGGCUAAACAAGAACCUAGACAUUUGUCAUUUGCUUUACCACUGAUUUGGACGGAACCAAAGGAUCAUUAUCCAAACUUGUGUUCGACCCAUCCUACAUAGUGCCGAACUGCCUGUGCCGAUGCCUCCAUAUCGAACAAAAAGUGAGAAUUCUAGUCCGGAAUUUCUUCUCAGUCAGCAUAAUAAGGUAUCUGAAGAUAGUGACUCAAGUUAUGAACCGUCAACUUCAAAAGAACCGCAUUUAUUGACACGUGAUUUAAACGAUUUAGUACGUGAUUUAAAUCUGUCCAAAAAACAGGCUGAGCUUUUGGAGUCUAGAUUAAACGACUGGAAUUUACUUUCUCGUGGUACAAAUUAUCAAGUUAUCAAGGGAAAUGGAGUCCUAGAAUGCUAGCAGACUAUUGUUGGAGACUUAAAAGGAACGCACCGGAAGCCAAAUAUUCAAGAAAGUCAUUAGUAUCUAUUAGAUAUUAGGAAAUAAUUCUGUAAGUGUGGCUGAAUUUUGUACUUUUUUCGAAAAUAUAUGUUUUGAGGUCACAAGAAAA
rnacentral:lncRNA from 1 species